ACAUGCCUACAACAUAGCUUUGAUGCAUCAGAUCCCAUUAGAACUCUACAGUUAAGUGCACUCAGGCUAGAGUAGUACUGGCAUGCGUGAUCACUCGGGAAUUCCUAGUGCUUUACAUGUC
rnacentral:rRNA from 1 species